rnacentral:rRNA from 1 species
AAUAAAAUAUUGGAGUUUCCUGAUAAUAUGAGUGAUAAAAAGGUUUUACAGCAGUUCUUAGGAAUUGUAAACUAUGCGCGAAACUAUAUAGAUAACUUAGCAAAGCUAGCAGGACCUUUAUAUGCUAAAUUAAGGAAAAAUGGCCAAAAAUACUUCAAUUCUGAAGAUAUAAAAUUAGUAAAGGCCAUCAAGGAAAAGGUCAAGAAUUUAAAACCCCUAGAAUUGCCUCUAGAAGACAAUUAUUUUAUAAUUGAAACAUAUGCAUCUAAGGUAGGAUGGGGUGCGAUACUAAAACAAAAACCCAAUAAAUACUCUCCAAAAGCAGAUGAAAAAAUAUGCAGAUAUGCUUCAGGAAGUUACAAAUUAAAGACAGUAAAUAAUAUUGAUAGAGAAAUCCUUGCAGUUGUAAAUGCAAUAAAUGCAUUUAGGCUAUAUCUAGGAUUUAAAAAAAUUAUAGUGCGAAUGGACUGUGAAGCCAUAUGUCGAUAUUACAAUAAAAUUAAUAGUAAGAAAAGCUCAACCAGAAGAUGGGUGUUAUGUGAAGACACCAUAGCUGGGAAUGGUUAUAAAGUUAUUUUUGAGCAAUUAAGAAGAAAAUAG